CCUUUGGCAGGGGGACAUUCCUAUCUUUGUCUGUUUGUGCAAUGUACCUACUCCUCUCUCCGAUGGCAUGGCAGGGAGUUCUCUUUCAACCAGGGGCUGUGCCACAGCAGUGCUGGAACAACAAUGGCUUUUUUAAAAGGUCAAGGAUGUUCAGCAGCAUGGCUUUCUAAAUGUGAGACAGAAUGAUCAGCAUGUUCCUUCAAAUCACUUCAGGGCAAGAGAAAAUUUGGAAUGUAAUAAUUUGGAAGUCUGAUGUUACUGUGUCGGUCAGGGACAAGUCCUGUGUUCUCAAGUGAACCACAGUAAGAAGCUGCAGAAUAU